CCUGGUUCAGCUGGUCGCGGGGGGCAGCGCGCCCGCAGGAUUUUCUGAAGCAUCCUUUAUUGCAAAACAUGAAGAUAGUUUGUUUAAGGAUUUAUUUCAAGACUACGAAAAAUGGGUUCGUCCUGUGGAACACCUGAAUGACAAAAUAAAAAUCAAGUUUGGCCUUGCAAUAUCUCAAUUAGUGGAUGUGGAUGAAAAAAAUCAGUUAAUGACAACAAAUGUCUGGUUGAAGCAGGUAUGUAUAAAA